AUUGAACGCUGGCGGCAUGCCUUACACAUGCAAGUCGAACGGUAACAGGUUAAGCCGACGAGUGGCGAACGGGUGAGUAAUAUAUCGGAACGUGCCCAGUCGUGGGGGAUAACGUAGCGAAAGCUACGCUAAUACCGCAUACGAUCUACGGAUGAAAGCGGGGAUUGCAAGACCCCGCGCGGAUUGAACGGGCCGUAUCAGGUUAGGUUGUUGGGGAGGUAAAAGCUCACCAAACCCUCGAACUGUAGCUGGUCUGAGAGGACGACCAGCCACACUGGAACUGAGACACGGUCCAGACUCCUACGGGAGGCAGCAGUGGGGAAUUUUGGACAAUGGACGCAAGUCUGAUCCAGCAAUGCCGCGUGCAGGACGAAGGCCUUCGGGUUGUAAACUGCUUUUGUACGGAACGAAACGGUGAGCUCUAAUACGGUUUGCUAAUGACGGUACCGUAAGAAUAAGCACCGGCUAACUACGUGCCAGCCGCCGCGGUAA
rnacentral:rRNA from 1 species